rnacentral:rRNA from 1 species
CGGGUGCACUGAUCCAGCCGGGCCUUUCCCUCUGUGGAACCCCAUGGCCUUCACUGGCUGUGGUGGGGAAACAGGACUUUUACUUUGAAAAAAUUAGAGUGCUCCAGGCAGGCCUAUGCUCGAAUACAUUAGCAUGGAAUAAUAGAAUAGGACGUGUGGUUCUAUUUUGUUGGUUUCUAGGACCGCCGUAAUGAUUAAUAGGGACAGUCGGGGGCAUCAGUAUUCAAUUGUCAGAGGUGAAAUUCUUGGAUCUAUUGAAGACUAACUACUGCGAAAGCAUUUGCCAAGGAUGUUUUCAUUGAUAAGGAACGAAAGUUAGGGGAUCGAAGACGAUCAGAUACCGUCGUAGUCUUAACUAUAAACUAUGCCGACUAGGGAUCGGACGAUGUUAUUCUUUGACGCGUUCGGCACCUUUCGAGAAAUCAAAGUGCUUGGGCUCCAGGGGGAGUAUGGUCGCAAGGCUGAAACUUAAAGAAAUUGACGGAAGGGCACCACCAGGGGUGGAACCUGCGGCUUAAUUUGACUCAACACGGGGAAACUCACCAGGUCCAGACACAGUGAGGAUUGACAGAUUGAGAGCUCUUUCUUGAUUCUGUGGGUGGUGGUGCAUGGCCGUUCUUAGUUGGUGGAGUGAUUUGUCUGCUUAACUGCGAUAACGAACGAGACCUUAACCUGCUAAAUAGCCCGUACUGCUUUGGCAGUUCGCCGGCUUCUUAGAGGGACUAUCGG